rnacentral:sRNA from 1 species
GGAUGAAGAUGAGCUGGAUUCCCACACCAUGGUGAAGACUAGUGUGGAGAGUGUGGGCACCAUGCGGGCCACAAGCACGAUGAGUGAAGGGGCCCAGACCAUGAUUGAACAUAAUAGCACCAUGUUGGAAUCCGACUUGGGGACCAUGGUGAUAAACAGUGAGGAUGAGGAAGAAGAAGAUGGAACUAUGAAAAGAAAUGCAACCUCACCACAAGUACAAAGACCAUCUUUCAUGGACUACUUUGAUAAGCAAGACUUCAAGAAUAAGAGUCACGAAAACUGUAAUCAGAACAUGCAUGAACCCUUCCCUAUGUCCAAAAACGUUUUUCCUGAUAACUGGAAAGUUCCUCAAGAUGGAGACUUUGACUUUGUAAGUACAUUUUAAUUCUUCAAUUUAUGUUUUCUCCUUCUAUAUUUUAUCAUCAAAUUGAGAAGCAUAGUUCAUAUGUAUAUGAACUGUGUGUAUGUAUAUACAAUUAUAGACCAUAUGUUAAUAUUCAUUAUACAGCCAUAUGCAUGGAUAGAGAAAUUGUGAAACUGUAGCUUGCUUAUAGAAAUGUACUUGCAGAGAAAUACUUUUUUAUAGUUAAAUAAUAGCUCAAAUUUAGAUAAAUAUUCAGAACUCCUUAAAACUAAAAUGACAACUAUUUUAAAAGAUGUUUUCAAUAAUGCAAAUAUGAGAUACUUCUGACA